AGCCUUCCUUAUCCAUGCUGAGAUUUUGUCACAUACCAGACCACAAGGGUUGAUGAGACUUCCAAGAUAAGUGAAGCG
rfam:Schistosoma haematobium scaffold1144_8, whole genome shotgun sequence.